rnacentral:tRNA from 5 species
GGGCCUUUAGCUCAGACGGUUAGAGCGUACCCCUGAUAAGGGUGAGGUCGGUGGUUCGAGUCCACCAAGGCCCA